AUGGAGCUCAUAUACCGACUUGACCAAGCAUCGGAUAGCAGAGCACUCACAGCAGCGGAACUCCAACUCCGGAAAACCCUCAAACGAAAGCUUCUAGGGCUAUGCUCCUUGGAGAGGACCAUAGCAAGGCAACGAUCUCGGUUGUUACAGCUAAAGGAGGGAGACACCAACACCCCGUUCUUUCACCGGCACGCAAGACACCGGCAACGCAGAAAUAUGAUUACCUCCAUCAAGAAGGACGGGCUGAUGAUAACAGGGCAUGAUCAAAUUGCUGCUGUAGUGGAUGGGCUCUACGACCGGCUGCUGGGCUCAGGCUCCGCUAGGGAUGAAUCACUACGUUUGGAAGCACUAGGAUUGCCAAGGCGUGACCUGUCGCACCUAGAAUUGCCAUUCACUAAGGAAGAAGUGGAGAAGGUGGUCAAGGCCUUGCCACCGGACAAUGCGCCGGGGCGGGCCGGGUUCACAAACAGAUUCAAUGCAUGUUGCUAG
rnacentral:rRNA from 1 species